rnacentral:miRNA from 1 species
UAGUCGGCUUACGUCACCUUG